rnacentral:ncRNA from 1 species
AUCGUGAGGUGGAUGACGGAGGUAGUCGGGAUUGAAAGAUAUAUCCUGCCGCAAAGUUCCGAGCUGAGGAACACGAACGAUAUCAGGCAUGAAAUGUGAGGAAGAAGUUGCCGAACAAACUAAAGUCCCAAAACUGGACGGACACAUGAGUGUAAAUAUCGCAGCUACAUGGAAUGAAAGCUAU